CCUACGGGUGGCUGCAGUGGGGAAUAUUGGGCAAUGGGCGCAAGCCUGACCCAGCAACGCCGCGUGAAGGAAGAAGGCCCUCGGGUUGUAAACUUCUUUUAUUCGGGACGAAACAAAUGACGGUACCGAAUGACUAAACUACGGCUAACUAGGGCCCAGCAGCCGCGGAAAUACGUAGGCGGCAAGCGUUAUCCGGAUUUACUGGGUGUAAAGGGCGUGUAGGCGGGAGUGUAAGUCAGACGUGAAAUUCCAGGGCUAAACGCUGGAACUGCGUUUGAUACUGUUCUGCUUGAGUGAUGGGGCGGCAGGCGGAAUGCCGGGUGUAGCGGUGAAAUGCGUAGAUAUACGAAAGAACACCAAUUGCGAAGGCAGCCUGCGAAACAUUAACUGACGCUGAGGCGCGAAAGCGUGGGGAGCAAACAGGAUUAGAUACCCUUGUAGUC
rnacentral:rRNA from 1 species